GGCCGGGUGGCAGAGUGGUGAUGCAGAGGACUGCAAAUCCUUGUAUACCGGUUCGAUUCCGGUCUCGGCCUCCA
rnacentral:tRNA from 2 species